rnacentral:misc_RNA from 1 species
UGGCUCUCGCAUCGAUGAAGAACGCAGCGAAAUGCGAUAAGUAAUGUGAAUUGCAGAAUUCAGUGAAUCAUCGAAUCUUUGAACGCACCUUGCGCUCCUUGGUAUUCCGAGGAGCAUGCCUGUUUGAGUGUCAUGAAAUUCUCAACCUUCCCGGCUUUUAUUAGCUGGCUAGGCUUGGAUUGUGGGAGCUGCUGGCAUCUCAGAUGUCAGCUCUUCUUAAAUGUAUUAGCAAAACCUUUGCUGACCAUCAUUGGUGUGAUAAUUAUCAAUGCCAUUGAGGUUAAGCUCCUUAUGGAGGGUUUAGCUUCUAAUAGUCCUUCUGGACAACUUCUUGACAAUUUGACCUCAAAUCAGGUAGGACUACCCGCUGA